GUUGAUAAGGUUAAGUGAAUAAGGGCGCACGGUGGAUGCCUUGGCACUAGGAGCCGAUGAAGGACGGGACUAACACCGAUAUGCUUUGGGGAGCUGUACGUAAGCUAUGAUCCAGAGAUUUCCGAAUGGGGGAACCCAGCAUCUUUUAUAGGAUGUUACGUUUGCGUGAAUACAUAGCGCAUUCGAGGUAGACGCAGAGAACUGAAACAUCUAAGUACCUGCAGGAAGAGAAAGAAAAUUCGAUUCCCUGAGUAGCGGCG
rnacentral:rRNA from 1 species